rnacentral:rRNA from 1 species
GACGAACGCUGGCGGCGUGCUUAACACAUGCAAGUCGAACGGAAAGGCCCUGCUUUUGUGGGGUGCUCGAGUGGCGAACGGGUGAGUAACACGUGAGUAACCUGCCCUUGACUUUGGGAUAACUUCAGGAAACUGGGGCUAAUACCGGAUAGGAGCUCCUGCUGCAUGGUGGGUGUUGGAAAGUUUCGGCGGUUGGGGAUGGGCUCGCGGCUUAUCGGCGUGUUGGUGGGGUAGUGGCUUACCAAGGCUUUGACGGGUAGCCGGCCUGAGAGGGUGACCGGCCACAUUGGGACUGAGAUACGGCCCAGACUCCUACGGGAGGCAGCUGUGGGGAAUAUUGCACAAUGGGCGGAAGCCUGAUGCAGAAACGCCGCGUGCGGGAGGACGGCCUUCGGGUUGUAAACCGCUUUCGCCUGUGACGAAGCGUGAGUGACGGUAAUGGGUAAAGAAGCACCGGCUAACUACGUG